GAACAGGGAGAUGGAAUAGGAGCUUGCUCCAUCCCCUCCACGCAUCGACCUGGUAUUGCAGUACCUCCAGGAACGGUGC
rnacentral:snRNA from 1 species